UACAGAGGUCCCAAGCGUUGUUCGGAUUUACUGGGCGUAAAGGGUGCGUAGGUGGCGGGGUAAGUUUGAUGUGAAAUCUCCGAGCUUAACUCGGAAAUGGCAUUGAAUACUAUCUUGCUUGAGGGUUAGAGGGGAGACUGGAAUUCUCGGUGUAGCAGUGAAAUGCGUAGAUAUCGAGAGGAACACCAGUGGCGAAGGCGAGUCUCUGGACAACUCCUGACACUGAGGCACGAAGGCCAGGGGAGCAAACGGG
rnacentral:rRNA from 1 species